rnacentral:lncRNA from 1 species
CGCGGGUUACAACGACUCUUCAAUCUCUCGUGUGCUCGGUAAAAAGACUAAGUGCCCAAUUCCUGAGCCAUCAAUGCUUGAUAUCAACUUACCUUCAAUCACAAUCCCAAAUCUUGAGAAAGAGGUCACACUCACAAGAACUGUAACCAAUGUUGGACCCAUCAAGUCAGUCUACAAAGCCGUGAUCGAGCCUCCUCUCGGUAUAACUCUCACCGUGAACCCAACCACUCUCGUUUUCAAAUCUGCAGCUAAGAGAGUACUCACUUUCUCGGUUAAGGCUAAAACUAGUCAUAAAGUGAACAGUGGCUACUUCUUUGGAAGCUUAACAUGGACUGAUGGUGUUCAUGAUGUUAUAAUCCCUGUCUCUGUUAAGACUCGUUAUUCGAUGUAAUGAAAAGAGCCAUAUGAUGCUCAUGGUAUUUGCUCUUAUGCAAUUUGUUGCAAAUCUAAACUCUAAGUGUCAAAUCAAGAUCCAAGAUCAUCAUAAUAAAAAAUCAAACCACAAAUAACUUGGAUUCUUGGAAUCUCUUACACAACAAACAUACAACUAGAGAAAACUGUAAAGUUUCCUCAUUUAUUCCACACAACCAUAUACAUGCAUAUAAAAACUACUAUAAAAUGAAUCGAGACAAAAGGAUCCUCAUGAUCAUAAUCUAUAGCUAUAACAUAGCAAAUAUAUAAUCAUCAUAAUGACUAUAUAUUAUAAAUAUGUGAUAUUUUUAUUUACACAUAAAUGCAAAAAACCGGAAUUAGUUUGCUCUCCUGUGAUCCUAUAUUUCGGUGUAGACUCUUCUAUAUAUAUAUCAAAAGUUCAGAAUAUAAUCAUUCUACACUAAAUUGAGUAAUUCAGUCAAUCAUGAUAUAACAACUUCUUAAUUACAGUCACCUAACAUACUCAAUUAGUUAGAAAUUAUUGAUAUCCUCUUAUACUCAAUUGAAAUAUAAUUAGGUACACUAUUCGUAUAUCUAUAAUAAGAAAGACGACAAUUGGAAGAGUUAAAACUGAGCCAAAUAGUUAUGGUGGGAUAUAAUACAACGUUACAUAAGAGAUAAAACCGGUCAGAUUCGGAAUUACCAUACCCAGAUUAAGUCGAAUAAACCAAUAAUUGAAUCCGAACCAAAUUCGAAUCUAACCAAAAGUUCAUUCCUAGAGACGGAUUAUUUAUCACACAUGUCUAUAAAAUCGCUUCUAGUCCACAGAGUCACACACACUUCCCACUUCAGAAAAUGGAGAACUCUUUCCUAAGUUCCAAACUUGUGUUUUUCUUGGCAAUUGCUUUGGCCUUAUUUCUUAAUACAGAGCUGAGUUUUCUUACAGCUGAACGAGCCUCAGACAGUAACAACAAAGUAUGUAACUAAAGAAAAAAUUUCUAUUUGCGAAAAUCGCUAAGAGUUUACUGAUAUUUCUAAACUUUUCCGAUGUUUUUUUGGCGGAUUUAUUAGGUUUAUAUAGUGUAUAUUGGCCAAAGGGAACACGAUGAUCCAGAACUUGUCACAGCUUCUCAUCAUCAAAUGCUUGAAUCACUUCUUCAAAGGUACUUAACUUUAAUCAUCUUCAAAACAAGGUUCAUUAAACUUUUAAUAUCUAUAAUUUUAUCUCCAUUAUGUAUUCAAGACAUCUGAUAGGUCGAUAAUAAUGUAUUACAUACGUUUCUUGUCUCUCAAGAAACUCCUCUCGCCAUACUCUGUUUCUUCACAGAACUUGGACCCUCCUCUGUUUUUUUCUUUUGUUUUGUUAUGAUCUCUUCUCUUACUUGUGUCCCUAAUGAUAUAUACAGCAAAGAAGACGCACAUAAAUCACUGGUCUACAGCUACCAACAUGGAUUCUCUGGUUUCGCGGCGCUUCUUACAUCUUCGCAAGCAAAGAAAAUCUCAGGUACUCAACAAAACUCAAACUCACAUUUUAGAUCUUUAAGCGUUGAAUAUUUUUGGUUCCUAAACCAGAAUAUUGUAAAUAAAUACAGAGCAUCCAUCAGUAAUCCAUGUUAUACCAAACCGGAUUCUGAAACUGAAAACCACAAGAACUUGGGAUCAUCUUGGCCUCUCUCCAAUUCCUACUUCUUUUUCUUCAUCGUCAUCUGCAAAAGGUCUACUUCAUGACACCAACAUGGGAAGUGAAACUAUCAUCGGAGUCGUUGAUACCGGUCCCUCUCUCGCUCUCUAAAUCUUUCUCUCUCUCUAUCUGUCUCCUUGGUUCACAUCAUGUAUGUAUGUAUAUGCAGGGAUAUGGCCAGAAUCAAAGGUAUUCAACGAUCAAGGUCUUGGACCAAUACCUAAGCGUUGGAGAGGAAAAUGUGAAUCAGGAGAACAAUUUAACGCCACAAUACAUUGCAACAACAAGCUGAUAGGAGCUAAGUACUAUCUAAGGGGUCUACUUGCCACGACUGGAGGAAAAUUUAACAGAACAAUCAUCCACGAUUUCAAAUCCAACAGAGAUGCAAUUGGUCACGGCACGCAUACAGCCACGAUAGCCGGUGGCUCAUCCGUUCCCAACACAAGCUUUUAUGGUCUAGCCGGAGGUACUGAUUAGAAUUUAGUCACAAACCAAGCCUAUAAAAACCUUUGGAUUGUUGUAUUCACUUAAAUAAGUUAGGUUAAGAGUGAAGGUACCGGUUUUAUAAGACAUUAUCUUGUUUUCAUCAUAAGUGGGAUUCUUAUCAGGUACGGUCCGAGGUGGUUCCCCUCGGGCCCGCAUAGCCUCAUACAAGGUCUGUUGGAAUGUAGUGGGACACGAAGGUAAAUGCACAGUUGCUGAUAUGUGGAAGGCUUUUGAUGAUGCUAUACAUGAUCAGGUAGAUGUUUUGUCAGUUUCUAUUGGGGGAGGUAUUCCCGAGGAAUCCGAGGUCGAUAAGCUCAGCUUUAUCGCGGCUUUUCACGCGGUGUCUAAAGGGAUUACGGUUGUGGCUGCGGCGGGUAACGAUGGGCCUGGUGCUCAGAAUGUUACCAAUGCUGCUCCUUGGCUUUUGACUGUUGCUGCAACUACUCUUGACCGGUCUUUUCCUACAAAAAUUAUACUUGGGAAUAAACAAACCCUCUUCGUACGUUUUACUCCCAAAAAAAAUCAAAUUAGUUUGAGAAAAUAGUUAAAAGUUUGGAGUUUUUCUUUAACUUGUUGUUUAUUGUUGGUACGUUUUUAGGCUGAAUCUCUGUUCACUGGACCGGAGAUUUCAACGGGUUUAGCUUUCUUGGACUCAGACAGUGAUGAUAAUGUUAUGAAGGGGAAAACAGUUCUUGUUUUCGAUACUACUUAUCCUACUUUAUUUGCAGGGAAAGGCGUAGCAGCAGUAAUCUUAGCCCAAAAGCCUGAUGAUGUUCUUGCUCGAUACAACCCGAUACCGUACAUUUUCACAGAUUAUGAGAUCGGAACUGACAUUUUACAAUACAUACGUACUACCAGGUCUCUAUCUUGAUGCCAAAAAACACCAUUACAUACUUAGAUAAGUUCAUUUACAUUUCUGGAAUAUAUACAUUAUUGAUCCCUCAAACCAACAGAUCUCCCACGGUGAGAAUUUGUGCUGCUAGGACAAUAACCGGUCAGCCUGCAAUGACUAAGGUUGCUGCAUUCUCAUCUAGAGGGCCUAAUUCGGUGUCACCAGCCAUUCUCAAGGUUAUAAAGCCAGUGUGUCUCUUAUUUAUGUUUACUUCAAAGGGUUUAAACGUUUUUGAGUAAAUAUCUGGUAAUGUUUUACUCUGUAGCCUGAUAUAGCAGCUCCAGGUGUUAGCAUACUCGCGGCAGUGAGUCCGCUUGAUCCUGAUGCGUACAACGGAUUUGGACUUCAUUCAGGGACAUCGAUGUCGACUCCUGUUGUUUCUGGAAUCAUAGCUCUCCUCAAAUCUCUACACCCUAAUUGGUCUCCUGCUGCAAUGAGAUCAGCUUUGGUCACAACAGGUUCUUGCUUCUUCUUAUUCUUCUUUUUCAUAAACAAACCGACUAAUCGAUUUAUUUUGUAGCUUGGAGGACAAGUCCAUCUGGAGAACCUAUAUUUGCUGAAGGGUCAAACAAGAAGCUUGCAGAUCCAUUUGACUAUGGAGGAGGACUUGUAAAUCCCGAAAAAGCUGCUAAACCCGGUCUUGUAUACGAUAUGGGGAUCGACGAUUACAUCAAUUAUAUGUGUUCCGCGGGUUACAACGACUCCUCAAUCUCUCGUGUGCUAGGUAAAAAGACUAAUUGCCCAAUUCCUGGGCCAUCAAUUCUUGAUAUCAACUUACCUUCAAUCACAAUUCCAAAUCUUGAGAAAGAGGUCACACUCACAAGAACUGUAACCAAUGUUGGACCCAUCAAGUCAGUCUACAAAGCCGUGAUCGAGCCUCCUCUCGGUAUAACUCUCACCGUGAACCCAACCACACUCGUUUUCAAAUCUGCAGCUAAGAGAGUAGUCACUUUCUCGGUCAAGGCUAAAACGAGUCAUAAAGUCAACGGUGGCUACUUCUUUGGAAGCUUAACAUGGACUGAUGGUGUUCAUGAUGUUACAAUCCCUGUCUCUGUUAAGACAGAGAUCACGAUCAAGCCUUAACAAGAAAACUCAUUAUAUGUUAGAUGUAAUCAAAAGAGCCAUAUGAUGCUCAUGGUAUUUGUUCUUAUGUAAUAUGUUGCAAAUCUAAACUCAAAGUGUCAAAUCAAGAUUCAAGAUCAUCAUAACAAAGACCAAAGAUUCUCUUACAUAACAAACAUACAAAUAGAGAAAACCAUAAAGUUUCCUCAUUUAUUCAUCACAACCAUAUAUAAAAACUACUACAAAUUGAAUCGAGACAAAUUUAUAAUCAUCCUAGUGACUAAUUGACUAUAUAUUAUAAAGAUGUGAUCUCUUUUAAUACACACAUAAAUGCGAAAAAAACCGGAAUUGGUUUGCUCUCCUGUGAUCCUAUAUUUCGGUUUUCUAUAUAUAUCAAAAGUUCAAAAUAUAAUCGUUUUUACUAAAUUGAGUAAUUCAGUCAAUGAUGGUCUAACAACUUCUUGAUUACAGUCACCUAACAUACUAGUUAGAAAUUAUUAAUAUCCUCUUAUACUCAACUUAGAAAUUAUUGAUGUCCUCUUAUACAAAACUGAAAUAUGAUUAGGUAUACUAUUUGUCUAUUUGUAUAUCUAUAAUAAGAAAGACACCAAUAAUAAGAAAGACGACAAUUGUAAGAGUUAGAACUGAGCCAAAAGUUAUGGUGGGAUAUAAUAUAACGUUACACAAGAGAUAAAACCGGUCUGAUUCGGAAUUACCAUACCCAGAUUUAUAAGUCGAAUAAACCACUAAUUGAAUCCGAACCAAAUCCGAAUGUAAUAGUUCAUUCCUAAAGAUGCACUAUGUCUAUAUAUAAAAAAGCUUCUCUUCCACAGAGUCACACACACUUCUCACUUCAGAAAAUGGAGAACUCUUUACUAAGUUCCAAACUUGUGUUUCUCUUGGCAAUUGCUUUGGUCCUAUUUCUUAACACAGAGCUGAGUUUUCUCACAGCUGAAGGAGCCUCAGACAGUAACAGCAAAGUAUGUAACUAAAGAAAAAACGGUGUUCUAUUUGGGAAAAUCGCUAAGAGUUUACUGAUAUUUCUAAACUUUUCCGGUGUUUUUUUGCCGGAUUUAUUAGGUUUAUAUAGUGUAUCUUGGCGAAAGAGAACACGAUGAUCCUGAACUUGUCACAGCUUCUCAUCAUCAAAUGCUUGAAUCACUUCUUCAAAGGUACUUACUUUAAUCAUCUUUCAAAGAAGGCCAAUAUCAAUAUAUAGACUAAUACCGAUAUCGCGUGUCGGUUCAUUAAACUUUUUAUAUUGAUAAUUUUAUCUCCAUGAUAUAUUCAAGACAUCUAAUAGGUUGAUAAUAAUAUAUUACAUAUGUUUCUUGUAACCCAAGAAACUCCUCUGGCCAUACUCUCUUUCUUCACAGAACUUGGACCCUCCUCUGUUUUUUUCCUUUAUUUUGUUAUGAGCUCUUCUCUUACUUGAUACAGCAAAGAAGACGCACAUAACUCAAUGAUCUACAGCUACCAACAUGGAUUCUCUGGUUUCGCGGCGCUUCUCACAUCUUCACAAGCAAAGAAAAUCUCAGGUACUCAACAAAACUCAAACUCACAUAUGAGGAAAAUUCAUAUCUUUUGACUGUGAAGAAAAAGUUCCUAAACCAGAAUCUUGUAAAUAAACACAGAGCAUCCAGAAGUAAUCCAUGUUAUACCAAACCGGAUUCUGAAACUGAAAACCACAAGAACUUGGGAUCAUCUUGGCCUCUCUCCAAUGCCAACUUCUUUUUCUUCAUCAUCAUCUUCAAAAGGUCUACUUCAUGACACCAACAUGGGAAGUGAAGCUAUCAUCGGCGUUGUUGAUACUGGUCUCUCUCUCGCUCUCUAAAUCUAAUCCUCUCUCUCUCUCCUUGGCUUACAUCAUGUAUAUCGGUAUAUGCAGGGAUAUGGCCAGAGUCAAAGGUAUUCAACGAUCAAGGUCUUGGACCAAUACCUAAGCGUUGGAGAGGAAAAUGUGAAUCAGGAGAACAGUUUAACGCCACAAUACAUUGCAACAACAAGCUGAUAGGAGCUAAGUACUAUCUAAGCGCUUUAUUUGGAGGAAAAUUUAACAGAACAAUCAUCCAAGAUUUCAAAUCCAACAGAGAUGCAAUUGGUCACGGCACGCAUACAGCCACAAUAGCCGGUGGCUCAUUCGUUCCCAACGCAAGUUUUUAUGGUCUAGCCCGAGGUACUGAUAUAGCAAAAACCUUUGGAUUUUAUUCACUGAAAAAUUAACUUAAGAGUGAAGUUACCGGUUUUAUAAGACAUUAUUUAUUUUCCUUCAUAAUGGAUGUGGGAUUCUUAUCAGGUACGGUCCGAGGUGGUGCCCCUCGGGCCCGCAUAGCCUCAUACAAGGUCUGUUGGAAUGUACUGGGCGGUAUAUGCUCAGUUGCUGAUAUGUGGAAGGCUUUUGAUGAUGCUAUACAUGAUCAGGUAGAUGUUUUGUCGGUUUCUAUUGGGAGCCAUAUUCCCGAGGAUUCUGAGGUCGAUAACGUCGACUUUAUCGCGGCUUUUCAUGCGGUGGCUAAAGGGAUUACAGUUGUGGUUGCGGCGGGCAAUGAUGGGCCUGGUGCUCAGACUAUUUGCAAUGCUGCUCCAUGGCUCUUGAAUGUUGCUGCAACUACUCUUGACCGGUCUUUUCCUACAAAGAUCACACUUGGGAAUAACCAAACUUUCUUCGUACGUUUCAUACCAAAAUACUCAAAUUAGUUUGAGAAAAUAGUAUAAAGUUUCGACCUUUUUUUUACCAAAAGCUAAAAUUAACUUGUUGUUUUUGUUGGUAUCUAAUUAGGCUGAAUCUUUGUUGACUGGACCGGAGAUUUCAACGGGUUUAGCUUUCUUGGAUGAUAAUGUUGAUGUGAAGGGGAAAACAGUUCUUGUUUUCCAUAAAGCUCACCCUUCUUCAAUUGCAGGGAGAGGUGUAGCAGCAGUCAUCUUAGCCCAUAACCCUGAUGAUCGUCUUUCUCCAUACAAUUCUUACAUUUUCACAGAUUAUGAGAUUGGAACUGACAUUUUACAAUACAUACGUACUACCAGGUCUCUAUCUUGACGCCUAGAAAACUCUGUUUCGUAAGUCCAUUUACAUUUCUUGAAUAUAUACAUCACUGAUCCGUCAAACCAACAGAUCUCCGACGGUGAGAAUUAGUGCUGCUACGACACUGACCGGUCAGCCUGCAACGACUAAGGUUGCUGCAUUCUCAUCUAGAGGGCCUAAUUCGGUUUCACCAGCCAUUCUCAAGGUUAUAAGGCCAUUGUGUCUCUUAUCUAUGUUUACUUUAAAUUUUGAAUCCUUUCUGAGUAAACUUGUUAUAUAUCUUGUCAUCUUUUACUUUGUAGCCUGAUAUGGCAGCUCCAGGUGUUACCAUACUCGCGGCAGUGAGUUCGCUUGAUCCUUAUGCGUACAACGGAUUUGGACUUCUUUCAGGGACAUCGAUGUCGACUCCUGUUGUUUCUGGAAUCAUAGCUCUCCUAAAAUCUCUACACCCUAAUUGGUCUCCUGCUGCAAUGAGAUCAGCUUUGGUCACAACAGGUUCUUGCUUCUUCUUAUUCUUCUUUUUCAUAAACAAACCGUUACCGACUAAUCUAUACUUUUUGAAGCUUGGAGGACAAGUCCAUCUGGAGAACCUAUAUUUGCUGAAGGAUCAAACAAGAAGCUUGCAGAUUCAUUUGACUAUGGAGGAGGACUUGUAAACCCUGAAAAGGCUGCAAAACCCGGACUUGUCUACGAUAUGGGGAUCAACGAUUACAUCAAUUAUAUGUGUUCCGCGGGUUACAACGACUCUUCAAUCUCUCGUGUGCUCGGUAAAAAGACUAAGUGCCCAAUUCCUGAGCCAUCAAUGCUUGAUAUCAACUUACCUUCGAUCACAAUUCCAAAUCUUGAAAAAGAGGUCACACUCACAAGAACUGUAACCAAUGUUGGACCCAUCAAGUCAGUCUAUAAAGCCGUGAUCAAGCCUCCUCUCGGUAUAACUCUCACCGUGAACCCAACCACA